rnacentral:rRNA from 1 species
CAGUCGAACGCGAAAGUGGAGCAAUCCAUGAGUAGAGUGGCAAACGGGUGAGUAACACGUGGGUGACCUGCCUUCGAGCGGGGGAUAACGUCCCGAAAGGGACGCUAAUACCGCAUAACAUCCUGCCUUUUAAGAGGUGGAGAUCAAAGCCGGGGAUCGCAAGACCUGGCACUUGAAGAGGGGCCCGCGCCUGAUUAGCUAGUUGGUGGGGUAAUGGCUCACCAAGGCAACGAUCAGUAUCCGGCCUGAGAGGGCGGACGGACACACUGGGACUGAGACACGGCCCAGACUCCUACGGGAGGCAGCAGUGGGGAAUUGUUCGCAAUGGGCGCAAGCCUGACGACGCAACGCCGCGUGGAGGAUGAAGACCUUCGGGUCGUAAACUCCUUUCGAUCGAGACGAAUGGUUUCCGGGUGAAUAAUCCGGGAAAAUGACGGUACCGAGAGAAGAAGCCCCGGCUAACUCCGUGCCAGCAGCCGCGGUAAUACGGGGGGGGCAAGCGUUGUUCGGAAUUACUGGGCGUAAAGGGCUCGUAGGUGGCCAACUAAGUCGGACGUGAAAUCCCUCAGCUUAACUGGGGAACUGCGUCCGAUACUGGAUGGCUUGAGUUUGGGAGAGGGAUGCGGAAUUCCAGGUGUAGCGGUGAAAUGCGUAGAUAUCUGGAGGAACACCGGUGGCGAAGGCGGCAUCCUGGACCAACACUGACACUGAUGAGCGAAAGCCAGGGGAGCAAACGGGAUUAGAUACCCCGGUAGUCCUGGCCCUAAACGAUGAAUGCUUGGUGUGGCGGGUAUCGAUCCCUGCCGUGCCGAAGCUAACGCAUUAAGCAUUCCGCCUGGGGAGUACGGUCGCAAGGC